rnacentral:rRNA from 1 species
UGACAUCAAUGGUGUUCAAGAGAUGCGGCGUUAAUGUAUCGACCCAUCAUGCAUUGUUCCACAUUUCAAGUUCCUACGACCGGGACUUCCAGAGCGGGUGUAAGACCCAUAGAGAUGAGGAACCAGUGUAUGCUGAGCGAUGCAUUCUAGAGUCAGGUUGCUUGAGAGUGCAGCUUAAAGUCGGUGGUAAACUCCAUCCAAGACUAAAUACUACAGCGAGACCGAUAGCAAACAAGUACCGUGAGGGAAAGUUGCAAAGCACUUUGAAGAGAGAGUUCAAAAGUACGUGAAACCACUGGGAGGCAAACAGAUGGAACCACGAAGUGUGCGCCUCGGUCGAUUCAAUCAUCACUUUUGAUCAGUUGUAGUUGAUCAGGAUCUUUUCGGAGGUUGAUUUUCUACAAYUAUGAUCAAAGGUGUUGGUGCAUUUCGUGCCGAGGAUGCAAAGCCACGUUCAACUAGAGUUGGGACGGCUGUAAGAAAGAAUCCGAGAAAGGUGACCGUCAAGUGCUUGCAUUUGACGGCGUUAUAGUCUCGGAUUGGCACCGUCUUCUAACAUACUGGUUGAUGGAAAUUCUCCAUUUGGAGUUGAACCAUAUCUGCCUGUGAUUGUUAGUCGAUGUUGCGUAAUGUUCUUUGCGUAUCUUUCGAUGCGAAAAGACUUURCAAAAAUGUCGGUUAAUGGUUGCUUGCGUGAUAUGGUGGAACUGUGGCGUGAGUAGGUCGGUCUCCAUCUGACCCGUCUUGAAACACGGACCAAGGAGCCUAUCAUAUACGCGAGUCGCUCGGUCUUGUUUAGGCCUGGGAGGCGUAAUGAAAGUAAAGUUACGAGGCUUCGGCUGCAGUAACGGCUCGCCCACUUUGUUUAUUGGCAAUAUGGCGAAGCUGGAGCGUAUACGAUGGUACCCGAAAGAUGGUGAACUAUGCCUGGGCAAGACGAAGCCAGAGGAAACUCUGGUGGAGGUCUGUAGCGAUUCUGACGUGCAAAUCGAUCGUCAGACCUGGGUAUAGGGGCGAAAGACUAAUCGAACCAUCUAGUAGCUGGUUCCCUCCGAAGUUUCCCUCAGGAUAGCAGGCAUUUAUUUAAAUAUGUGUGCAGUCUCAUCCGGUAAAGCUAAUGAUUAGAGGUCUUGGGGUUGAAACGACCUCAACCUAUUCUCAAACUUUAAAUGGGUGAGAUGGUUGACUUUCUUGAUUGAAGCCAACCAUUUGGAUGCAAAUGCCUAGUGGGCCAUUUUUGGUAAGCAGAACUGGCGCUGUGGGAUGAACCAAACGUCGAGAUAAGGCAUCAAAUGCGUACGCUCAUCARACCCCAUGAAAGG